UAUACGGGAAGGAAAGGAUUGACUCUUU
rnacentral:piRNA from 1 species